rnacentral:rRNA from 1 species
AUUGAACGCUGGCGGCAGGCCUAACACAUGCAAGUCGAACGAGUGGCGCACGUGUGUGUUAUGUCUGUGAACCUGCCUGUUGGAGGGGGUCACUUACUGGAAACGGUAGCUACUACCGCACACCAUCGGAUGUGCCCAGAUGGGAUUAGCGAGUGGGUGGGGUAAAGGCUCACCUAGGCGACGACCCCUAGCCGGUCUGAGAGGAUGACCAGCCACACUGGAACUGAGACACGGUCCAGACUCCUACGGGAGGCAGCAGUGGGGAAUAUUGCACAAUGGGCGCAAGCCUGAUGCAGCCAUGCCGCGUGUAUGAAGAAGGCCUUCGGGUUGUAAAGUACUUUCAGCGGGGAGGCGUUACCCGCAGAAGAAGCACCGGCUAACUCCGUGCCAGCAGCCGCGGUAAUUC